rnacentral:rRNA from 1 species
AUACGAAAGGUGCAAGCGUUGUUCGGAUUUACUGGGCGUAAAGAGAGUGUAGGUUGUUUAUUAAGUCGGAUGUGAAAUCCCGGGGCUCAACCUCGGAACUGCAUUCGAUACUGAUAGGCUAGAGUUUGGGAGGGGUAAGCGGAAUUCCGUGUGUAGCAGUGAAAUGCGUAGAUAUAAGGAGGAACACCUGAGGCGAAGGCGGCUUACUGGACCAAUACUGACACUGAGACUCGAAAGCGUGGGUAGCAAACAGGAUUAGAAACCCUAGUAGUCC